rnacentral:rRNA from 1 species
AACGAACGCUGGCGGCAUGCCUAACACAUGCAAGUCGAACGAGACCUUCGGGUCUAGUUGCGCACGGGUGCGUAACGCGUGGGAACCUGCCCUUAGGUUCGGAAUAACUCCCCGAAAGGGGUGCUAAUACCGGAUAAUGUCUUCGGACCAAAGAUUUAUCGCCUUUGGAUGGGCCCGCGUUGGUUUAGCUAGUUGGUAGGGUAAAAGCCUACCAAGGCGACGAUCCAUAGCUGGUCUGAGAGGAUGAUCAGCCACACUGGGACUGAGACACGGCCCAGACUCUUACGGGAGGCAGCAGUGGGGAAUAUUGGACAAUGGGCGAAAGCCUGAUCCAGCAAUGCCGCGUGAGUGAUGAAGGCCUUAGGGUUGUAAAGCUCUUUUACCCGGGAUGAUAAUGACAGUACCGGGAGAAUAAGCACCGGCUAACUCCGUG